AGAGUUUGAUCCUGGCUCAGGAUGAACGCUAGCGGCAGGCCUAACACAUGCAAGUCGAGGGGCAUCGGGAUUGAAGCUUGCUUCAAUUGCCGGCGACCGGCGCACGGGUGCGUAACGCGUAUGUAACCUACCUAUAACAGGGGCAUAACACUGAGAAAUUGGUACUAAUUCCCCAUAAUAUUCGGAGAGGCAUCUCUCCGGGUUGAAAACUCCGGUGGUUAUAGAUGGACAUGCGUUGUAUUAGCUAGUUGGUGAGGUAACGGCUCACCAAGGCAACGAUACAUAGGGGGACUGAGAGGUUAACCCCCCACACUGGUACUGAGACACGGAUCAGACUCCUACGGGAGGCAGCAGUGAGGAAUAUUGGUCAAUGGACGCAAGUCUGAACCAGCCAUGCCGCGUGCAGGAAGACGGCUCUAUGAGUUGUAAACUGCUUUUGUACGAGGGUAAACUCACCUACGUGUAGGUGACUGAAAGUAUCGUACGAAUAAGGAUCGGCUAACUCCGUGCCAGCAGCCGCGGUAAUACGGAGGAUUCAAGCGUUAUCCGGAUUUAUUGGGUUUAAAGGGUGCGUAGGCGGUUUGAUAAGUUAGAGGUGAAAUCCCGGGGCUUAACUCCGGAACUGCCUCUAAUACUGUUAGACUAGAGAGUAGUUGCGGUAGGCGGAAUGUAUGGUGUAGCGGUGAAAUGCUUAGAGAUCAUACAGAACACCGAUUGCGAAGGCAGCUUACCAAACUAUAUCUGACGUUGAGGCACGAAAGCGUGGGGAGCAAACAGGAUUAGAUACCCUGGUAGUCCACGCAGUAAACGAUGAUAACUCGUUGUCGGCGAUACACAGUCGGUGACUAAGCGAAAGCGAUAAGUUAUCCACCUGGGGAGUACGUUCGCAAGAAUGAAACUCAAAGGAAUUGACGGGGGCCCGCACAAGCGGAGGAACAUGUG
rnacentral:rRNA from 1 species